CCUGGAGGAUCAAGAAGGCAGUGUCUGAUGAAGCAAGACUCUGCUGAUACACUCCUCCUAGAGAAACAGGGUUGGGGAGAGCAGCCCUUGUUAAAGAGCACUGCGGGGCUGACUGUGCUACCCUACAUGC
ensembl:scaRNA